UGGGGAAUAUUGCGCAAUGGGCGAAAGCCUGACGCAGCGACGCCGCGUGAGGGAUGAAGGUUUUCGGAUCGUAAACCUCUGUCGGAAGGGAAGAAGGCGCACCGUGCCAAUCAGCGGUGUGUUGACGGUACCUUCAAAGGAAGCGCCGGCUAACUCCGUGCCAGCAGCCGCGGUAAUACGGAGGGCGCAAGCGUUAAUCGGAAUUACUGGGCGUAAAGCGCGCGUAGGCUGUUUCGUAAGUCAGGGGUGAAAUCCCACGGCUCAACCGUGGAACUGCCCUUGAUACUGCGGGACUUGAAUCCGGGAGAGGGUGGCGGAAUUCCAGGUGUAGGAGUGAAAUCCGUAGAUAUCUGGAGGAACACCAGUGGCGACGGCGGCCACCUGGCCCGGUAUUGACGCUGAGGUGCGAAAGCGUGGGAGCAAACAGGAUUAGAUACCC
rnacentral:rRNA from 1 species